rnacentral:rRNA from 1 species
GAUUGCAGGCUGCAACCCGCCUGCAUGAAGUUGGAAUCGCUAGUAAUCGCGGAUCAGCAUGCCGCGGUGAAUACGUUCCCGGGCCUUGUACACACCGCCCGUCACACCAUGAGAGUCGGGGACACCCGAAGUCCGUAGUCUAACCGCAAGGGGACGCGGCCGAAGGUGGAUUCGAUAAUUGGGGUGAAGUCGUAACAAGGUAUC